CAUAGAUGUUAUGCAUCAGGGAAUUCCUGAACAAGCAGAUGUUCCACCAGUUGCCCAAGUUCCUGCUCAGGCAGCAGCAAACUCCCCAGCAAUCAUUCCUCCAGUGCACGCAUCACAACCUGCUGCUGCACCUGUUGUUGUCCCUAAUGCAAAUCCAUUGGAUCUCUUCUCACUGGUAGCUAUUGUUCUACCUCUUAACUUUUGAAUUCUUCCCUCAGAUAGAUGCUCCUUUGAAGUUUGAAUUGUAUUUUAUGAUCAGCUAAUUAAUAAAAUAUAUUACUAUUCUUGAAUCAGGGCCUACCAAAUGUGGGUGCAAAUGCUGGUGCUGGCAAUUUGGAUUUUCUUCGAAACAGUCAACAGUUCCAAGCAUUGCGAGCUAUGGUGCAAGCAAACCCUUAAAUUCAGCAGGUUAGGCUUCUCAUAAAGAAACAAAAUGCAUGUUGAUAGCUUGGUCAUUUUGGUGGUAGAUGGACACUAAAUAGUACUCAUGCUACACUUAUUGUUUUGCUGCCUAUGCUUCAAGAGCUAAGGAAACAAAAUCCACAUCUUGUGCAUCUCAUACAAGAGCCUCAGGCUGACUUUUUGCGCCUGAUAAAUGAACCUGUCGAGGGAGGAGAAGGAACGUUCUGAGCCUGAUGGCUUUAGACAUGCCACAGGCUAUGACUGUAACUCCUGAGGAGCAGGCAGCCAUUGAACGUGUAUGUUUCUAAUCUUUGUUUAACCUCUGUGUAGUCCCUCUCUUGUUUGUGCUUUUAUCCAAGAGCCAAGAUGGCUACUCAAGAACAUUUAUUGCAUUUUUUUAUUCUUAAACAUAUAAUUUAGACGGUUGAAACCUUUACUGCACUGUUUUAUAGUUAAUUUUAUUAUAAUGUU